AGGAAAAAAAAAAAUUAAUAAAAAAAGCAACAGAACAUGAAUAAACCUACAGAAAGCAUUGCUCAAGAAACCGCCACUCCUAUCCACACACAAAAUUCUAAUUAAAGGAAAAUGCAUAAAAGCAGCAAAAGAAAAUACUGCAAGAAAUUAUAAAGCAAGUAGACAUAAAAGGGGUGUUCCAGUGGCACCACCAAAGACGACUCCGACUUUGUCAAGUGUCACGCAGUAUGUUAUAUUUGAUAUCACCCAUCCGUUUUCUAAACUUGUGUAAUUAAGCACAAGUCAGGAUACAAUCCAAAUGGGACACAAUGUCAUAAGUUAUAUAGCCAAACUCUCUCAUAUACCAAAAACAUGUAGCUUAUAGUAAUUGAUAAUUCUAAAAUCAGUUCUGAAUGGGUGUGCACACACACACACACACACACACACACACACACGAGUGGUCACUGCAUUUGACUGGCACAGUAUCCAUGAUAGAUUCCUUCCUCGAACCUAAGCUCUGAACCCGCUCACCACCCUAAACUGCUUUAAAGUAGGUUUGAGAAUGUUGUUCCUAUAAAGUUAAUUUCUUCUGUACAGACAAGCCAGCAAUUCUGCCUACAAUCCUGGAGUUGCCAUUUUUUUUUGUUGUGGAAGAAUGCUUUUAAGAAUGGGAGUACAGCAUAUGAGGACUUAAUUACACACACCUAGUCAUUCAUACACAUUUUAAUGACAUGUUAAAAGUAAUUAUUCAGUACUAUUUUGGUUGGCUGGGGUCUGUUUACACUAAACCACCAAAAAUCACUGCCGUAAUAGCCAUUUACCUAUACUGGCCAUGCACACAUCAGAGGAAAGAGAACAAUCUGCCCUAGAAGGGAAGAUUACACCAGCUGGCCACAGGAUUUAUUGCAAAACUUCAGCAAUCCGUAAAUUUGCUUUUUGUACAUGUAUGCAGCAUUUAAAAUGUACAAAAGGAACUGUAUGUGCAUUUAGGUAAGAAAUGCAACAAGCCCCAUUAUUUCAGAGUAGGAGACAUUGGAUCCUGCUUCUUACAAAUCAGGAAAGGAGCAAGUAAAGACACAAACCACAGAGUGACUGAAGGCAGUUUGUGUGUGUAUAUAGAUUUUUUUUUAAAAAAAAAACACACACAUCACCACACAUUCUUUUAGUGUGGACGUUGCCCGAGUCCACUGAAGGUCUGCUACAAUAAAAUUUAUCAAUUUUCCUCUCUAAUAUACGAUUGUAUAAAAAAAAAAAGGCUCAAAAUCUCCAUCUUUAGCUGGACUACUCAGAUAACUGAUUAAUACACUCAGUACAGAAAACUUUUAAAGCCCACAUUGUAAACCAACACCUCUAAAUCUUUAUUUUCAAACCUAAAUCGAAUUCAGGGUUAGCCUAUCCUGGCAGCAGUUUUACACAUUUAUAUAUAAAAAAAAUAAAACUAUAAUGCAGUUUGCCACAAGUUAUUCACAGUUACUGUACAAAGUGAUAUUACUAAAAAGGUAGCUAAUUUGUAAUAAAGUCGUUUACAGAAUUAUGCUUGGGUAUUCAAUCUCCACCACACACACUGCAAGCAUAAAUGUUAAAUAUACACUUGCCCAAUUAAACUAAACCAUUACUUUGAUGAAUAUCAGCUCUCAACAUUUACCUACUAAAGUCUUGCUUGAUUAACCUUUUAACCAAACAAGCUUAACCCAUAACUAGCAGUGGACACUGGUUAUGGUUUUACUUCCACUGGCAUUGGCCCGUAAGCUUACUCUGUUCACUCCCAGUGCUGGUAUCCUACCAGUGGCAUUUAUUGUACUGUAAAUCACUUUGGGAUCAUGUCGUACUGGUAAAUUUGCAAGUAGUAAGCCAGCUGCAGUACAGGAAAAGCAACCUUUAGUUUUCUUUGCUCAACUUCACAACCACCAACCCCACUUACAGUAAUUCAGAACUAAAAACUUCAAUACGUCAUACUAAUAGUGACUUGUGUGUAGGCUCCUCUGUUUAAGAAAAAUCCACAUCUUUGUUUUUGUCCAGGAGCAGUUCUGCCUGUUAAUGGGUGUGGCACAAACCAGAUGGAACCUGAUUUGCCCCACCAACUCUAUUAAGAACAAAACAAUGAAGAGGAGGAACAGCAAAACACAGACAACAUUGCCGGCUUCUGGAUUCUAUUGAGAAAGCCAACGGUAUCCACACACCACAGCACUUCGCAUGGAGGAAGGCCGAGGAGAACCUGCACCUGAACCAACUCAGAACAAGGAGCCAUGGCAGUGCAGAUUUAGUGUUGCCAGUCAACUUCACCUGUACAUGUUUGACAUACAGAAGAAGCAAACGUGAACAUGAAGAAAGUACAAAUGGUGAGACAGUAGAACUAACCACUAUGCCACCUCUGCUGAAUUUACAUCAGAUGAUGAGAGGAAGCAGCCGUACUUCAGCAUUAGAGGUCAAUGUGCUUGAUCAUCCUUCUCCACAAAUCUCAGUUCUGGACCUCUUCCUCGAUCCAUUUCAACAUUUAACUUCUCCUGUGGUCCUGUUACUGCCCGUGUCUCAGCUCCAUAUAUAAUUGCUGGUCUUAUCACUAUUUGAAAAACCUGAUCUUUAACCUUUGCCUUAAUUCUCUAAUAACACCAUACUCCUAAAACCUUCUUUCAAUUGAUUCAUCCACACUGCACUCUGUGGGUUAUCUCUCCAUCUAAUUUUCCACCUUGGGCUACCACUGAUCCUAGAUAUUUAAAUUUAUCCACUCUUUUCAACAGCUCUCCCUUCUCUAUUCUUCAUUCUUCCAAGUUCUUCUCCAGUUCUGCUUUUCUGGUGCUACACAACACAAUGCCAUCAACAAAAAAACAUGUACCAAGGGGAUUUGCCUUUUAUCUUAGGACCCACCACGCCCAUAACCAGAUCAGAGAGGUAAGGACUUCAAGAAGAUCCCUGGUACAGACCUCCUCUAACUGGGAUCUUGUCUGUUACCCCAACACUGCUUUUAACCUGAAUCCUCACUCCCUCAUACAUAUCCUGAACAAUCCACACCUCCUUCUCUGGUAUUCCUUUCUCUCUCACGAUGCUCCAGAAUUCCUGAUGUGACCUGCUAUCAUAAGCUUUCUCCACAUCAAUAAACACCAAUUGAAAACCUUUCUGUUUCCUCGGUGCUUCUCUGUGAGAUGCCUCGAUGCAGAGAAUGCAUCAGUUGUUCCUCUCCCUGGCAUUAAACCACCAAACUGUUCCUCCCUUAUGGUGGUCUAUUCCUAAGCCUCCUUUCUGUAACCCUUUCUCAGAUUUCCAUCAUGUGUGAUGUCAGCUUUAUCCCUCUAUAGGUUCCACAAUCCUGAAUAUUGUCCUUUUUUUAUAAAUGGAUACAAUCACACUGCCCAUUCCUGUGGUAUGUUUUUCCUCUCACAGGUUUUCUACAUUAGAUCCCACAACCCAUUUACUCCCCCUUCUCCUUAACUCUUCCAUACUUCUGAUGGCCUUUCAUCUGGUCCUGUUGCCUUUCCAUUUCUCAUUCUUUUCUGGGGCCCCUUUUCUUCCUCCCUCCUUAUUCUUGGUGCUAGCCCUUCUGUUUUGGGAAUCCAUGACACAACUACCAUGAAGUAAAAGAAAAUAAUAGUUGAAAAGCAAUAAAAGAAAACAUACCCAAUAUUCACUUGACAAUAAUGACCACAUAUAAUUUAUACGCCUAUAUGGCUAUACUCGGGGCACUUUAUUAGUGAUUUCUGAUAUCAAUUGACUGCCUCAGUGAGAAGUUAGGGGUCUCAUAUUAUGUUGUUGACUAACAAUGCAACCUGACAGACCCUGAGCAUUUUUGUAAAGAAGAAUGAGGAGAAAUGGCAGAGUGCAAAGCUGAUGGACCUGCGCAGAGAGUCUGAUGGCUGUCAUUCCUGCCAGCUACUAAAUACAGACCUGAAUGGGUUUUGUUUAUGCUACUUGUUUAUUACCAGAAACCCACCAGCUUCCUUAGAUCUUUUAUUCUGAUAACCAGGACCUUACAAAGUAUAUGGGCAGUUUCCAGUGAGGGCAUCACUUGCUUUACCUACCAGUUCAUUGAGAUAUUUUUGGAGACCUAGUCAAACAGUUCCAAGUGCUACGACCACGACCAGAAUCAUACAAGGCUUUGUGUUCCACAUGUGUGAAUCCUCAGUCUUGAGGUCUUUGUAUUUAUUGAUUUCUUCUACCUCUUUGUUUGAAACAUUUGCAUCACUAGGAACUGUGAUAUCAUGGAGAAUGAUGUUGAGGCAGUUGGCUCCAAUGGUAUGAUCACUAUUCAUAACUUUAUCGUAACAAAUGGUGACUUUUCUGUCUCCAUGACCUCUUCAGGCUGGUGAUCGUACCAAUGAUCAAGAAAGGUUUUGAAGGAUUUAUCCACAGAUCGAACAAAGCUCAGUGCGAAGGCUGACAUUUUAUCCCAUCUGUUGAUGAAAUCAAAGUGCCCACCCCAGAGAAAUGCAGGACGUGACCCUAACCACAGAACGCAAAAUGGCUUCUACUACUUUUAGAAAAGGCUGAAAGACCCCAAAUUUCAGCGCUGAUCACGACAAGAAUGUAUUAAGUAUGUGACCCUGAACUGCCAUGAGGAGUCUCUCUGUCUGGCUCUACAGCCCAGAGCCUCACAACCUUUCAAAGGUCAGCCUCGUGUCAAUAUACUGUAGCUGUUCAAUGUCUGUCUGAAUAAUUCUUCUUCUAUUAUUAUUAUUAUUAUUAUUAUUAUUAUUAUUAUUAUUAUUAUUAACCAACCAUAGACAGGGAAGCAGACUAGCUCAGGUCACAUUCAAGCAUAAAAUCACAAGCAGUCACUCAUACAGGGCCUCCAAAUGACAUGUUCUUCAAAGUAUUCUAACCAGAAAUUGUGUGGCUGCCAAUUGACUGAAAUUGCAAAAUAGUGUUGAUCAGCUGCUCACCUGAAUGACCUUUGCUUGGCAGUAGAUUUGUAAACGCCAUGGAAUACUAACUUUUGGUCAAUUCGCUAUGUGUCAAUGAAGCCUGACUCCUACGAGAAGAGGAACAAAAGUCAUUUACCUGGAUGUGGAGAAGAGUGUGCCACAGUUCCUUAUGCUGCACAUUUCAAAAGGAAUUACUGGUCAUGAGCUCAUUGUUUCUAGCUAACAUUUUCGUUGCACCUACACUGCUCACACACAGGACACAGU